CCUACGGGAGGCAGCAGUGAGGAAUAUUGGUCAAUGGGCGCGAGCCUGAACCAGCCAAGUCGCGUGAGGGAAGACGGUCCUAUGGAUUGUAAACCUCUUUUGUCGGGGAGCAAAAGACGCCACGCGUGGCGUUCCGCGAGUACCCGAAGAACAAGCAUCGGCUAACUCCGUGCCAGCAGCCGCGGUAAUACGGAGGAUGCGAUCGUUAUCCGGAUUUAUUGGGUUUAAAGGGAGCGUAGAUGGGUUGUUAAGUCAGUUGUGAAAGUUUGCGGCUCAACCGUAAAAUUGCAAUUGAUACUGGCAGCGUUGAGUACAGUUGAGGUAGGCGGAAUUCGUGGUGUAGCGGUGAAAUGCUUAGAUAUCACGAAGAACGCCGAUUGCGAAGGCAGCCUACUAAACUGCCACUGACAUUGAUGCUCGAAAGUGUGGGUAUCAAACAGGAUUAGAUACCCCUGUAGUC
rnacentral:rRNA from 1 species